rnacentral:rRNA from 1 species
GACGAGCGCUGGCGGCGUGCUUAACACAUGCAAGUCGAACGAUGAAGCCUAGCUUGCUAGGUGGAUUAGUGGCGAACGGGUGAGUAAUACGUGAGUAACCUACCUUUAACUCUGGGAUAAGCCUGGGAAACUGGGUCUAAUACCGGAUACGACCAAUCUCCGCAUGGGGUGUUGGUGGAAAGCGUUAUGUAGUGGUUAUAGAUGGGCUCACGGCCUAUCAGCUUGUUGGUGAGGUAACGGCUCACCAAGGCGACGACGGGUAGCCGGCCUGAGAGGGUGACCGGCCACACUGGGACUGAGACACGGCCCAGACUCCUACGGGAGGCAGCAGUGGGGAAUAUUGCACAAUGGGCGCAAGCCUGAUGCAGCGACGCCGCGUGAGGGAUGACGGCCUUCGGGUUGUAAACCUCUGUUAGCAGGGAAGAAGAGAAAUUGACGGUACCUGCAGAGAAAGCGCCGGCUAACUACGUGCCAGCAGCCGCGGUAAUACGUAGGCGCGAGCGUUGUCCGGAAUUAUUGGGCGUAAAGAGCUUGUANGCGGUUUGUCGCGUCUGCUGUGAAGGCCGGGGCUUAACCCCGUGUAUUGCAGUGGGUACGGGCAGACUAGAGUGCAGUAGGGGAGACUGGAACUCCUGGUGUAGCGGUGGAAUGCGCAGAUAUCAGGAAGAACACCGAUGGCGAAGGCAGGUCUCUGGGCUGUAACUGACGCUGAGAAGCGAAAGCAUGGGGAGCGAACAGGAUUAGAUACCCUGGUAGUCCAUGCCGUAAACGUUGGGCACUAGGUGUGGGGGACAUUCCACGUUUUCCGCGCCGUAGCUAACGCAUUAAGUGCCCCGCCUGGGGAGUACGGCCGCAAGGCUAAAACUCAAAGAAAUUGACGGGGGCCCGCACAAGCGGCGGAGCAUGCGGAUUAAUUCGAUGCAACGCGAAGAACCUUACCAAGGCUUGACAUAUACUGGACCGCAUCAGAGAUGGUGUUUCCCUUCGGGGCUGGUAUACAGGUGGUGCAUGGUUGUCGUCAGCUCGUGUCGUGAGAUGUUGGGUUAAGUCCCGCAACGAGCGCAACCCUCGUUCUAUGUUGCCAGCACGUUAUGGUGGGGACUCAUAGGAGACUGCCGGGGUCAACUCGGAGGAAGGUGGGGAUGACGUCAAAUCAUCAUGCCCCUUAUGUCUUGGGCUUCACGCAUGCUACAAUGGCCGGUACAGAGGGUUGCGAUACUGUGAGGUGGAGCUAAUCCCUAAAAGCCGGUCUCAGUUCGGAUUGGGGUCUGCAACUCGACCCCAUGAAGUCGGAGUCGCUAGUAAUCGCAGAUCAGCAACGCUGCGGUGAAUACGUUCCCGGGCCU